rnacentral:rRNA from 1 species
AUACGUAGGGUGCAAGCGUUAAUCGGAAUUACUGGGCGUAAAGCGUGCGCAGGCGGUUUGGCAAGAAGGAUGUGAAAUCCCGGGGCUUAACCUCGGAACUGCAUUCUUAACUGCCAGGCUAGAGUAUGUCAGAGGGGGGUAGAAUUCCGCGUGUAGCAGUGAAAUGCGUAGAGAUGCGGAGGAAUACCGAUGGCGAAGGCAGCCCCCUGGGAUAAUACUGACGCUCAGGCACGAAAGCGUGGGGAGCAAACAGGAUUAGAUACCCUGGUAGUCCACGCCCUAAACGAUGUCAACUAGCUGUUGGGGCCUUCGGGCCUUAGUAGCGCAGCUAACGCGUGAAGUUGACCGCCUGGGGAGUACGGUCGCAAGAUUAAA